CGGCUGGGUCCUCACAAGCAUUAGUCUCUUAUUAAUCAUGGAAGUGUUGUUGGGACCUGGUAUUUGUGAACUACAGUUCGGCCUACAUGGUUCAUCAAAUCCUAUCCAAGUGUUUCUGUGUUCGGGAGACAAGCAGAGCCUGAAGAACUCAGUCUCCCAGGGUGCUUCAACGUCACACAGAGGUGUGAAAUUGGACCUUUCAACCACUAUUGGUCACUUUGGGUCCCAUGACCCAUGAGGUCACCAGGCCAAUAUAAGCAAAGUACCCUCUCUUCUUCCUCUUUCGACUCAACUCCUUCUACUCUACUCUCUGAGAGGAGCUCAUCUCUCUUUCUGCACAACUUCCAUGGAGGAGAGUUGCAGGUCUCCAGCUCACACAGCAAGGGAAACCUCCUCCCUACCCAAGCUCUACCAACCUUCAAGCAGGCCUGCCUGGAGCAGACUGCUUAAACCUUCCAAAAGUCAGCGUCUCGAGAGCCUGCCUAAGAACUUCAACACAAGAGCUGCAUCACACAGCAGAACCACAAACACAGGAGCCACAAACCAGCAAGACGACUUCACUGGACUUCAAACAGCACAUCAACCUGUUUUCCCUUUUCCUGAACUGGAUGUCCAACAUGAGACACAACUGGAAUCCAACCAGACUGAGCACUGAGUCAUCACUUCAACACUGACUCCAGGGACAGACGAGCCUGAAGGACACAGCUGUGCUGACCGUGUUCUGUCUCUUAUGGCAAAGAAGAAAAAUAAAACACUGGGGUCUUAUCUAAAGUGUAUCAAAUCAGAAAGUAAAGAUAAACGUUGUUCUAAUAAGUAUAAUUUUUUUUAACCAUCCAUAAUGAAUAUAGAAAUUAACUCUAUUAUCCAUGACACUUAGCAAUGAGCCAACUCUAAACAGUUGCAGGCCAUCUUUAGUUAAGGGAGGAAAACAUGUGUUGUGUAGAUGAAGCUGGUGCUGGUUGUCCUCAUGUUGACCAGCCUGAAGCUGCAGAUCUCCACCAUGUUGUUGCUGAGGAUAGAUCAGGUGCUGCAGUUCUUCAUCUAAUGAAAAGAAGAAACUGACUAUUAAAGAAUGCUUUGUGUUUUGUAUGAAGCAACACAGAUUUCAGUCAGAACCAAUUUAAUGGGCUCUGGUUUUGUACCCUCAUGGUUAAAUGCACAUAUUGUAAGUCACUUUGGAUAAAAGAACUGAAAGAUAUAAAACAUUGUACAAUAGAUACAAUGUCUUUCUACCUCAUAUUGUAAUUUUCAAGGUGAUAAUCUCCCACAGAGCUGUUGAUAACAGUCCACAUCAAGUCUCUCCACUUCCCUCAGUGUGAAAACAUAAUUAUAUAAUUAAUAAGAAAUGUUUACAGCACUGGUGUGUGGAGAUUAUAAUCAUAUCUAAUCUGUCUAAUUCACUCUUAAAUUCCAUAACAGGCUAAAUAAACGAAGUGGCAAUAGUAAUUGAGGUUAUACCAGCCUGUAUCAGAACAUUUGUGAAACAUAUAGUUACUAUCCCAUGCAACUUACACAUGUAGCGUAUUGAUAUUAACUCAUUAAAAUAAAAAUCAAGUCAAAACCAAACA